rnacentral:rRNA from 1 species
UACGGAGGGGGCAAGCGUUGUUCGGAGUUACUGGGCGUAAAGCGAGCGCAGGUGGUUUAAUAAGUCUGAUGUAAAAGGCAGUGGCUCAACCAUUGAGUGCAUUGGAAACUGUUAGACUUGAGUGCAGAAGGGGAGAGUGGAAUUCCAUGUGUAGCGGUGAAAUGCGUAGAUAUAUGGAGGAACACCGGUGGCGAAAGCGGCUCUCUGGACUGUAACUGACACUGAGGCUCGAAAGCGUGGGUAGCAAACAGG